ensembl:lincRNA
GGCUUCUGCAUAAUCUGUCUUCUCUCUCCUCAGAACCUUGGCAUUCUUCUCUUUAUCACAAUUCAUUGCCAGGAGAGGAAAGAAUGAUGAUUGUUUUCAAAUGAUAUGGGGAAUGUAAAGCACAUCGGGAAUAGAAUGUCAUGCCCAGGAUUUCCAAACAGAAAGGGCUUUUGCAAUUAUGAGCACAAGAUACCAGUUUACAAGACCCUCUACAAAAUUACAAGUCUGCCUUGGCAUUGGAAUGGGAGCAACUCCUUCUGUUAAAGGUAUAGAAUAAAAUUGGUAAACAUUAAAGCAACUAUCAAGCUACUGUAUGCCUACCAAAUAGGACAUGUCAUUGACCUGAAGAGGGUAAGAGGUUGACAACUCACUAGCCUUGCCCCUCACUAGACUUUCUGCAGUUUUUUCCUGCCUGGCAGAUUCUACUUCCUUCAGAAAGGUUGAAAAUGACAGAAACUUCUUUUUCCAGGAUUUCUUGCUGCUGGGACAUGACAUAUAACCCAAUAUUGACCAACAGGAUAUGAAGAAAAUAUAUGCUACUGGC